rnacentral:rRNA from 1 species
GACGAACGCUGGCGGCGUGCUUAACACAUGCAAGUCGAACGGAAAGGCCCUGCUUGCAGGGUACUCGAGUGGCGAACGGGUGAGUAACACGUGGGUGAUCUGCCCUGCACUUCGGGAUAAGCCUGGGAAACUGGGUCUAAUACCGGAUAGGAGCCAUUUUUAGUGUGAUGGUUGGAAAGUUUUUUCGGUGUAGGAUGAGCUCGCGGCCUAUCAGCUUGUUGGUGGGGUAAUGGCCUACCAAGGCGGCGACGGGUAGCCGGCCUGAGAGGGUGGACGGCCACAGUGGGACUGAGAUACGGCCCAGACUCCUACGGGAGGCAGCAGGGGGGAAUAUUGCACAAUGGGCGCAAGCCUGAUGCAGCGACGCCGCGUGGGGGAGGACGGCCCUCGGGUUGUAAACUCCUUUCGCUAGGGACGAAGCUUUUUGUGACGGUACCUAGAGAAGAAGCACCGGCUAACUACGUG